UACGAAGGGGGCUAGCGUUGCUCGGAAUCACUGGGCGUAAAGCGCACGUAGGCGGCUUUUUAAGUCAGGGGUGAAAUCCUGGAGCUCAACUCCAGAACUGCCUUUGAUACUGGGAAGCUUGAGUCCGGAAGAGGUGAGUGGAACUCCGAGUGUAGAGGUGAAAUUCGUAGAUAUUCGGAAGAACACCGGUGGCGAAGGCGGCUCACUGGUCCGGUACUGACGCUGAGGUGCGAAAGCGUGGGGAGCAAACAGG
rnacentral:rRNA from 1 species